rnacentral:rRNA from 1 species
GGAAGGUGGGGAUGACGUCAAGUCCUCAUGGCCCUUAUGGUAGGGCUUCACACGUCAUACAAUGGUCGGUACAGAGGGUUGCCAAGCCGCGAGGUGGAGCCAAUCCCUUAAAGCCGAUCGUAGUCCGGAUCGUAGUCUGCAACUCGACUACGUGAAGUCGGAAUCGCUAGUAAUCGCAGAUCAGCAUGCUGCGGUGAAUACGUUCCCGGGUCUU